rnacentral:rRNA from 1 species
GAUGAACGCUGGCGGCGUGCCUAAUACAUGCAAGUCGAGCGAACAGACGAGGAGCUUGCUCCUCUGACGUUAGCGGCGGACGGGUGAGUAACACGUGGAUAACCUACCUAUAAGACUGGGAUAAGUUCGGGAAACCGGAGCUAAUACCGGAUAAUAUAUUGAACCGCAUGGUUCAAUAGUGAAAGACGGUUUUGCUGUCACUUAUAGAUGGAUCCGCGCCGCAUUAGCUAGUUGGUAAGGUAACGGCUUACCAAGGCAACGAUGCGUAGCCGACCUGAGAGGGUGAUCGGCCACACUGGAACUGAGACACGGUCCAGACUCCUACGGGAGGCAGCAGUAGGGAAUCUUCCGCAAUGGGCGAAAGCCUGACGGAGCAACGCCGCGUGAGUGAUGAAGGUCUUCGGAUCGUAAAACUCUGUUAUUAGGGAAGAGCAAAUGUGUAAGUAACUAUGCACGUCUUGACGGUACCUAAUCAGAAAGCCACGGCUAACUACGUG